rnacentral:rRNA from 1 species
ACGUAGGGGGCAAGCGUUGUCCGGAUUUAUUGGGCGUAAAGAGCUCGUAGGCGGUUCGGUAAGUCAGGUGUGAAAACUCGAGGCUCAACCUCGAGACGCCACCUGAUACUGCUGUGACUAGAGUCCGGUAGAGGAGUGUGGAAUUCCUGGUGUAGCGGUGAAAUGCGCAGAUAUCAGGAGGAACACCAGCGGCGAAGGCGGCACUCUGGGCCGGAACUGACGCUGAGGAGCGAAAGCAUGGGGAGCAAACAGG